ensembl:lncRNA
GUAAAGUGUAGAGGCAGACAGGCGCGCACACAGACAGUCAGUAGUGAACACAAACUGUGAUCCACAUUAAUGCAGAGUUACAUGUAAGAAGGAAUGUAAAUAAAACAACUGAGACACAGAAAGACUUCAGGUAGCAAGAUGUUGUCAACAAAGGGGGAGCAGAGAACAUUCAGCAAUGGGCGUCUGAGAGACCAGUGGGAGAAGAGAGCCCAGAGCAUCGCCAACGAGAACAAAAAAGAGGAAGAGUGGAAGCAGAAAAGUUCCAUCAAUCUGCUCUUCUCAAAAUGGAACUAUCACUGGCUUGUUGCUAAUGGAGACAAGAUGAAAGGUGGCAUAAGUGAGUUUAGGAGGGUCACGAGCAGUGCAGCUGAAGCAGAAAAAAACAAGCCCAGAAUUCGAUUCAAAGUUGUCCCUCCUCCUCCUCCCAAACCCAAAGCCGACCCUCCUCCUCCACCUCCUCCGAGAAG